GAUGAACGCUGGCGGCGUGCCUAAUACAUGCAAGUCGAGCGAACAGACGAGGAGCUUGCUCCUCUGACGUUAGCGGCGGACGGGUGAGUAACACGUGGAUAACCUACCUAUAAGACUGGGAUAACUUCGGGAAACCGGAGCUAAUACCGGAUAAUAUAUUGAACCGCAUGGUUCAAUAGUGAAAGACGGUUUUGCUGUCACUUAUAGAUGGAUCCGCGCCGCAUUAGCUAGUUGGUAAGGUAACGGCUUACCAAGGCAACGAUGCGUAGCCGACCUGAGAGGGUGGUCGGCCACACUGGAACUGAGCCACGGUCCAGACUCCUACGGUAGGCAGCAGUAGGGAAUCUUCCACAAUGGGCGAAAGCCUGACGGAGCAACGCCGCGUGAGUGAUGAAGGUCUUCGGAUCGUAAAACUCUGUUAUUAGGGAAGAACAAAUGUGUAAGUAACUAUGCACGUCUUGACGGUACCUAAUCAGAAAGCCACGGCUAACUACGUG
rnacentral:rRNA from 1 species